CGAUCCUCACCUCACCCUCAGAGUCCACGGAGCUCCCUCCCACUAUGCCCUCAGGCAGACGAGCCGGGUCGUCGCUUCUGGACUGUCCACCCUCGGCCACUUAAGGGUUGGGGACGGACUUGAAGACGAUCUCCAAUCUUUUUUCUUCGGAACAUGGGGGUCUCGUGGUGACAAUCCUAUCGUCGGGGCUCUUCUGCGCCCCCUCGUUUCCAAUUGCAUGGAAAGUACGCUUUAAAAUCUGGAAGUUACAACCGUAUAACGCAGCUUCCUCACUUCGACUCCCACCGGGCAAAAACCUGAAUGAACCUGGACGGACAAAGGCAGAACGGAGCCGGAGUGAGCGCCACGUUUGGGAAACCGGAUUCUGGGGCAGCUAGACAUGUAUCAGGAUGCAGAAGCUGCGCAAGCCAUGGGAGGUAACUCGCCACUCUCCUCUGCGCCAGCUUUAUUACCAGCACCUUCCCUCCUGCCUCACCCGAGCGCCUGCGGGUCCCCGGGCGCUCGCCGCCAGGGGGAGACAGAGAACCGGCUGCGGAGCAUCGCAAAGCAGGAGUUGGGGUGCUGGGAGCAGAGUGUUGAGUAUUCACCCUCCUUUAACGCGCCAAGCACUGAGUUGCCACCUCGCAAGAUUAACUCAGGGAGAAACCGUUUUGGUGACUGAGAGCCUGCCCUACGUUGUAACAGUAACAAUAUACUUGGAGCCACCUGCCUAGAAAAUCAGUUACAGCUGACGACGAUUGAGGCUUCCCGCUGCCAGAUUUCCUUCCUGUGUUCCAUUCUUGGUUUCCUUUCUUAUCUCCCCGCCCACCACUUGUCACCCCUUAAGUCCAGAGGUUCUCUGUUUCGCUUUUCCUUUUCCUAUCAAAGAUUAAACUGUAGUUUAUUAUUAUUUGGAAAUGUCCAGACAUUUCUAUUAUGCUGCCCAAAAUUAGUUUUGGAGGAAGAGACCCAAGUAUAUUUUUUAAGCCAACCAUGUUCUUACAGAAAACUACUGAAGAAAUAAAAGUUGAGAACUUUAAAAUAAUACUCCACCCAUAGCACCAGUAAAAGUGGUCUUAAUUUUUUCACUUUAUUGAGCUAUAAUUGGUAUAUAAGUAACUGCACAUAUUUAAUCAUUUGAUAAAUUUUGAUGCAUAUAUGUGGGGGGAGCCAUCCCCACAAAGUAAUGACCCAUUCCAUCACCCUGAACGUUUUCUCAUGUCUUUUAUAGCCCCUCCUUUCACCACCAGAAACAACCCUCCAGACAACCACUGAUCUUUAUACCAACUGUAGAUAAGUUUACAUUUUCUAUAAAUAUACAUGUGUGUGUGUGUAUGUUGUAUGGAAUCAUUCAUGUACUAUUUUUGUGUGUUUUUUCCACUGAGCAAAAUUCUUUUGAGAUUCA